rnacentral:rRNA from 1 species
UCAGUAGGGGUUCUGAGAGGAAGGUCCCCCACAUUGGAACUGAGACACGGUCCAAACUCCUACGGGAGGCAGCAGUGAGGAAUAUUGGUCAAUGGGCGAGAGCCUGAACCAGCCAAGUAGCGUGCAGGAUGACGGCCCUAUGGGUUGUAAACUGCUUUUAUAGGGGAAUAAAGUGAGCCACGUGUGGUUUUUUGCAUGUACCCUAUGAAUAAGGACCGGCUAAUUCCGUGCCAGCAGCCGCGGUAAUACGGAAGGUCCGGGCGUUAUCCGGAUUUAUUGGGUUUAAAGGGAGCGUAGGCCGGAGAUUAAGCGUGUUGUGAAAUGUAGAUGCUCAACAUCUGCACUGCAGCGCGAACUGGUUUCCUUGAGUACGCAUAAAGUGGGCGGAAUUCGUGGUGUAGCGGUGAAAUGCUUAGAUAUCACGAAGAACUCCGAUUGCGAAGGCAGCUCACUGGGGCGCAACUGACGCUGAAGCUCGAAAGCGCGGGUAUCGAACAGGAUUAGAUACCCUGGUAGUCCGCGCGGUAAACGAUGGAUGCCCGCUGUUGGGCCAACUGGUUUAGCGGCCAAGCGAAAGCAUUAAGCAUCCCACCUGGGGAGUACGCCGGCAACGGUGAAACUCAAAGGAAUUGACGGGGGCCCGCACAAGCGGAGGAACAUGUGGUUUAAUUCGAUGAUACGCGAGGAACCUUACCCGGGCUUGAAUUGCAGAGGAAGGAUUUGGAGACAAUGACGCCCUUCGGGGCCUCUGUGAAGGUGCUGCAUGGUUGUCGUCAGCUCGUGCCGUGAGGUGUCGGCUUAAGUGCCAUAACGAGCGCAACCCCUCUCCAUAGUUGCCAUCAGGUGAAGCUGGGCACUCUGUGGACACUGCCACCGUAAGGUGCGAGGAAGGUGGGGAUGACGUCAAAUCAGCACGGCCCUUACGUCCGGGGCUACACACGUGUUACAAUGGCAGGUACAGAGAGCCGGUCGUAUGCAAAUACGAUCCAAUCCUUAAAGCCUGUCUCAGUUCGGACUGGGGUCUGCAACCCGACCCCACGAAGCUGGAUUCGCUAGUAAUCGCGCAUCAGCCAUGGCGCGGUGAAUACGUUCCCGGGCCUUGUACACACCGCCCGUCAAGCCAUGAAAGCCGGGGGCGCCUGAAGUCCGUGACCGCAAGGAGCGGCCUAGGGCGAAACUGGUAAUUGGGGCUAAGUCGUAACAAGGUA